UACGUAGGAUGCAAGCGUUGUUCGGAAUUACUGGGCGUAAAGAGUACGUAGGCGGUUUGAUAAGUCUGAAAUUAAAGACUGGGGCUUAACCUCAGGAAUGUAUCGGAAACUGUCAGACUAGAGGACAAUAGAGGAAGUCGGAAUUCUCAGUGUAGCGGUGAAAUGCGUAGAUAUUGGGAAGAACACCAGUGGCGAAAGCGGACUUCUGGGUUGUUACUGACGCUGAGGUACGAAAGCGUGGGGAGCAAACGGG
rnacentral:rRNA from 1 species